ACAGGUGAGGCCUUGGGAACU
rnacentral:miRNA from 14 species